GGUUGUAUAGCGCAAUGGUAGCUCGCUUGCUUUUGUAACGGGAAAUUCUGGGUUUAACUUCCGGUGCAACCA
rfam:Gaeumannomyces graminis var. tritici R3-111a-1 unplaced genomic scaffold supercont2.2, whole genome shotgun sequence.